GCGCUGCGCCGCGGGGCGGGGAGCGGGGCUGGCCGUGCCCGCGGGCGGGCGGAGAUGGCGGCGGCGGGGCCCGCCGGGUGCGCUGUGCCCGCGGCCAGCCCGGCGGGCCCGUCCCGCCCGCCUUCAGCGCCGCAGGCUGAGCGAUCGGCAGCGGCAUCGACCGGCCCGGCGGGGCCGCGCGGCUGUGAGGGGGCAAGCACUGUGCGUCCUCCUGUCCUCCUGGGCUCCUGCCGCCCUCUGGUGCUUGUUCUUCCCCGGAGCUCUCGAGGUGUUGCGCACACGGCGCCUCUGGAGGGGUAGGAAGUGCCUUUGGUAACCUCCUGCCUUUUGCAGUAAUGCCAGAUCCAAGCCAGAUGCAGGUCUUCAGGUUCCUGCUAUUGCUAAUGCAGCUGCAGCAGUUAACACCAUCAGGCUGUAUCAUGUCUGCUACCUGUUGCAAAGUUCUGCAUGCUAUAUAUAUUGGUUUGCCUACAGCAGUUAUUUGAAUUUCUGUUGCCAUUUUGUCCAUUAAGAAUAACAGCAAAUCAGUGCUUUCUAGAGACAAGAAAGAAUCCAGGGAUAUAAUAAACAUUACUUAUUCAGAUAUACCAUUUACUCUUACAGUGUAUGGAUGCCUGUUCUGCCAUUUCAAAAUGAUAAAAAUAGGAGCUUUUAGCUCACUACUUGUUCUCCAGGUACAGGCAGGUAGCAAACUGCAGGCAACAUGAGGGGUUCUGGCAGACCAUGGCUUGCUUUUGCCGCAGUCUGUGAAUAAUCAACGUGUGGGGGAUGAAAGAAUAUUUUGGUGAGGUCAUGGCACAAACGUGCAGUCAUGUUACAGAAUGCAUAGCCUUUCCUGGUGUACACCAGUCCCAGUGCCCUGUGCUUCCAUACACAUUAAACAUAGGAUACACCAGUACUUCUAGUCAUAUAACUGACACACAUUCAAUGAUAUCUGACAAGUGAAGUGGAGGCAUAGAGUUUGUGAGUGUGUCCUUUAGAAACUGGAUAGCUUAUCCCUAUAGAGAGCUUAGGCACUAGUGCUGUUUGUAUUCAUCACUAACAUCAAUAUGAAGUUCAUAGGACUAUAAGCCUAUACCUUUCCCAAAAGAAUAUGCCUUUGGGGGGGAAAUUCUGGGAAUUCUAACUGAAAAUUGAGAGAACAAGUCUUUCUAUCUAUAGGUUUGUGGUGGAUUUCAGGUUUUUUGGUAUAUCACUGUUAUCAAACUUUUCAAAUUAGUACACAUAAGUAGAAUUGUACAAACAUUCAAAAUUUCAAAAGAACUCUUCUUCUGAACCAGUGGAAUGCAAGAGGCACAUUCAUUAGUUGGUAAUGGUUUGUCAUACUCAAGAGAGAACUCAAACCAUUGAACCUGUUUUUUUAACUUGCAGGAAUCUAUUUUUCAGCAGUUUGUAUUAAAUUGGUUUUCCUUUGUAGACGAGGCCAAGUAAGAUCUGUUUUCACACUGUAGUCACUGUUACAGCUUGUUCUUUCUAAACAUACAAACCCAACUGUUCAUACAGCGCACAGCUUGUUAAUAAUCUCUUACAAAAUAUUACAAUAAAAUAUGGCCUACUGUAGUGGAAUUAAAUUCAAAAGGUAUUUUUCCUUCCUGUAAUUUUAGUGUAAGUGGGAUUCACAACAUCCAGUGUACAAAUCACCGGAUAUGAAGGGUUGAACUGUUGCUCUGUCUCCUUUGAGAAGUGGUUUAACAGUGUCACGUGUGACACAGUGCAUAUAAUGUUAUUGUGGGUGUUCUUGAGAAAGAAUGCUCACCAAAGUGUGCCACAUGUACCAGAUCUUCACUUCUUCUCUUCACACAUUCAGUCAAAGAAUAAUUUUCAGGGCACAGAAACUUGUUAGCCUUCAUUUCUCAUGUCUGCCAAUUUAAAUGUUUGAUUAAAAGCAUGUAGUUUAUUUCAUUGAUUUAACUUCAGAAGCCAGGAAAUUAAUAGCAAGAAAGUUAGUAUUUCCUUGUUUUGUUUGUAGUUUUCUCACAAACAAAAUCAGUGCUAUAAGAGCACAAGGGUGUGUGUUUGGUGUGUAAAUAAACCAGUGUUGAUUCUGUAUAGGUACUGAUCAAGAUUUACACAGGCUUACAUACUGAAGCUGUGAAAGGAUGUCUGUGAACUAAGAAUUUUGACUGGCGAAGAGCACUUAUUUCAUCAUAACACAUAUCCAUAGUCUCAAACUGUCCAACAUGUCAUAUUUGCACUAAAAGACCUCAACUAGCCAACCAAUCAACCACCAAACUCACAAAACCUUGACAACAAAAAAAAACUCAGUAAAUGGUUGUGCUGACUCCAGAAGUUUUCCAUGCCUUUAUUUGUCUCCUGUGUCACCCUAGAGGGUCUAAGUGCUCAGCAGUCCUUUGUGAUCUGCUGACUCAGACAAAGGGGAAGGAGAGCAGCAUUCAUCCUUCCUGCAAAUUCAUGGGACAGCACUAAUCACAUAAUUUAGCCUCUAAAAGCAAAUGUCAUGGGGCAUGAAACAUCCAGCUGUUUUGAAAGGGCAAAACCUAAUUCCCAAAGAAAUGGGUAGUGUAAGAUGGAGGUGACUCUGCCUCGAGAACACAGAAGCAGUAUUUCAUGAGUCUGCUAUGAUCAUUCAUGUUUGUAAUUUAUUGUAACCCUUCCAUGAAAGAUUUUGAUUUUAUUUGCUUUUUUCUUGUGGCUGAUAAUGAAGACAAAACCCCUUGGAAAUGUGUAUCCAUUACCUAAGAAGACAAAGAGCUGGAAUUGGUGGAGUGAUGAAAGAAAAUUAGUCAUACCAUAGAUGUUGAAAGUCUUUUGUUGCAAAAAAAAUAAAUCUCUCUGAAUUUCUUCUGCCUUGUAGUUUCAUGUGAUCAGCAGUAACAAUAAAAUCAGAAACAAAAUUGCAGAGGUUUCAACUGGGACAAGAACAUGAAUCCCUACUGUUUUAUUAACUUGAUUAGCAGUAAUUCCACCAGUGUUUUCACAGCAAAUAAAUAUCACUAAUGCUUAUGGUAAAAUGGCCAAAUAUUUCCAUUUUUGUGGGUAAAUGAGGGAAUUGAGAUUCUUAGAGACAUGACUGAAUUGCUGAAUUGUCAGGUUCAGGGAAUUAAUGCCACUUGGUCAGAUGGCUUUAACUUGUCUUUUUGAGUGCAAAGGGUACCUUUUGGGUUAAAGAAUUCUAGACCUCUAAAACUUUGUUUUAGCAAACCACAAAGCAAAGCCAUGCAGCAGAACAUGUAACUCAGAGGCUGAUGAAGGAGACAAAGUGCAGUGACACAUUGAAGGCUGUGAAAAAUCACUGUAUACUUCGUAGGAAAUCCCUGCAGGCCUCCAUUAUGCACUUAGCAGUCUCACUUUCAAGAUUUCCCCAAUUUCCUAACAAGAAGCUGCAUUAAAUUUAUCUGCUUGGGAGCAAAGUUUGAGUUUGACCCUAUUUAGAAGGAACUUGCAUUUCAAAGACGCUAUGGUGGAUGUUUCAUACUUGGGGAUUAUACCAUAAAUCAGUGUAAGUAGCACAAGAACAUAAGAAAGAGCUCUUCAACAGAUUUCCACUGCAGGCUGAAUCUUUAUGAUGUCAGUAAAAACAGUAGUCUAUUAUGACUAGACAUUCCAUUUCACUUCAUUGUUACGACUAAAGUUCUUAUUUUUAUUGUGUCUUAAUAAUGAUGUUCCUUCUAUUCCAUUUUAGUAUUCCUAUUCAUUGGAUCUAAUAAAUGCCUGCUUCUCUGCAGUACCACUGAUCUGGGAAAUGUUCCUUUUCAUUUCACAAAGACAAGAAAAGACAAAGAGAAAUGGAAAGUACUACAGUCAAAAUAGCAAAGACUUAGGCUGUCCAAUUAGGCCAUGUGCGAAAUAAUGAGAAUUCUAAAAUGUCUCCUGAAUGUUAUUGAGACCUAGAUUACUUUGGGUUUCCAAGGCCAGGGAAGGAGAAACAGCAGUCUAAGGUGAGACAGUAUUGAAAGAACCUCAUUAAAUGCUUUUAGAGACCUCUGAGAAAAACUGUUGGUGUGCUUAAAAAUUGAAUAUUACCUGCUUCACAACUGUGGUGCUGUUUAAAGUGUGACUUUCCCAUUCUGGCUAUCUUUACUUAAUAAUGAAAAUUUAAUGUUACACUUAGAGAUACUGCUACCUUUUACCAUAGAUGGUUUUUCUAAAAAUACAACAGUUCUUGAAUGCAUUUUUUUAUGAUUGCAGUACUUGGCCGAGGAUGAAAACAAUAAUCUGAUUCCUUACAGACUUUCAGUGAUACGCAAAAAUCUGAUGGAUAAAAGGAUUUUCUGAGGCCAAAACUAAUACCCAUAUUUACUCAUUCAUUGUUUUUAAAUUAAGCUCUUUUUUUAGCAGCUGAGCAGCAAAGUUUUAGGUAACUCUAGGAGGAUUUUCCUCUAAAGGUAUUUUAUUAAUGUAAACCUUUUCUUUGUCAACAGAUCUCAAAUAGAUUUUUGUUGCUGAAGAAUAAGUUGUUUUAACAGCACAUAUCUAUAAAGAUUUUAAAGGAGUUAAAAGAUGCUUGUUUUAGGCAGAUUUUUACUAUGAUUUAAACAAGCUUAUAUGGUUGCCUUUAUACCAGUUCCAACCUUAGUAAAUUGUAUUGUGGUGAAACAACCAUGAAACUGAUAAUGUAAAUCUUUGCAGAGAUAAAUGACAUAUUUCUCUUCAGUAUAGGACAUAGAAUUGCAGCAUUUGAAAAAUAAUAAUUCUAACUAUAAGUCACAUUCUGCUUUCUCUCUUCAAUGAGUGUUGUAAUAGUCUUUCAUAGCAUCCAAUUACAAAAAAGAUGCUGCUGAAACAACUUUUUCUGGCAAUGAAAUAUUUGAAAAUGUAACUGAUGCACAGCACUUGCUUCACUGACUUACAGUAGAGCUUUUGGAUGCACGCUCAGAUUUUGCAAGAUAAAGGUAUACAACAAGCCACUAAUUAACUCUGGUUAUAAGCUAAGAUAAAACAUACAGUAAAGCUAAAAAAAGAACCUCUGAGUUGAAAUAUGCCAGGUAGAUCUGAACAAGUCUGUGUGGGUUUUUUGCCAGUUUGUUCUGGGUUUUGUCUGAAGUCCCAGUAAAACAAAUUACAUGUAAUUUCAGUUACUGUAUAUAUUUUUAAGUAUCCUUUUUUGGUUGUAAUUUCCAAAACAAAAAGAGUGGUUGUUGAAACUAAGAUUUUUUUAAAGUGUAACUUAAAGUUUAAUUCAGUAUAGCUUUAGUUUCAAUAGAAUUUAAAGCAAAUCACAGUCUAGGUUUUAGUCUUGUCAUUAUAAUAGUUUUUAACAACUUGUAAUGCAAAUUACAGAGUCCAGAGCAUAAAAGGAAAGGUAAAAGUAUGUGUAUUUUCAGAUCUUGAAUAAGAUUGCCCAGUCAGCAAAGGAAAUGUGUCAGGUAUAUGUACAAACUGAUUCGUUUGUAGAAAAUCUAAAUGUUGAACUAAUUAUUUAAUUAAACUGAACAUAAGUAUUAAUUUAUCUUCAUUGCUCACUUUGGGUAAAUUGACUUCAGAAACCUGAGGACAAACCUGUUGUCAUAUUCCUAGUUCAGCAAGAUCUAGCCAUGACCAAUAAGGUGAGGAGAAUUUCACAUCUCCUCUGGCCAAGCCCCAGGUUGUGCUGCCUGAGCUUCCUGCUGAAGGUGACACUCCAGCAAGAGCUGCAUUUCAGAAUUUGGGAAUUCAACCAAUAUGGACAAAAGUAUCAACGUUUAUGUUUGUCUUUAGUUUUUGCAUUUCAGUAGUUCAGAUUUCACUGAAAAUUCUUUGAGAUCUUCAGCACAGGGAAGAUUAGAAUCAGUAAUUUAGUAUCAUAAUGCAAAGUAAUUAAGGUCUUUCCUAGAUACUGAAGGUGAUCAAGGAAACCUCUUGCCUUUCUUUCCAAGUCUCAUCUGGUGCUAUCAAGAUUAAAUGAAGCACAAUUCAUAGUUAGUGAAGUUUUUACAAUUUUACUAAAAUAAAAUUUAGUCUCUAAAAGUGCUUCCCUUUUGCCUUUCAUACACAAUUUCUGUCCAUACUUUGUCUAUUUUAGUAGAGACAUAUGCCAUAUUUAGCCCAGACAAACAUUUUUAGAUUUUACUAAUUUCAAAACAUUGUCAAGUAGACACACUAGUGUGUCUUCUCGAUGUAUACUGUCAGCCUGAUCCACAUGCCUGUAAGUUCAUUUAAGACUCAUUCCACUAUUGCACAGAAAACAAAUUACCUUUAGGGAAAUACCUAUCAGUGUUUCAAUCACUGCUGCCUUUCAGUUAGGAUUAUUAAAAAUCUCAAAAUUUAUUCUCCAAAAAAUGCAGAACAACUGCAUUUUAGUCAUUUUAGAUGCUGGAGUCCAGUUUUAGAGGAUGAUUUGUAGCAGCAAGUACUGCAGUGAUUAAUGAGAUUUCAGUAGCUUUUCCAUAGCUUCCUGCCUAGAGAAAAAAAAAAAAAAAAAAAGAAGAAGAAAAAAUCAACAAACAAACAAACCCGCCCCAAACCCAUAAUGGCAGGUUAGUUGUGUGUCUUUUGCUGCUUCUUGUAAAAUGUUAAUAGACCCCCUAAAGGUUUCAUUUUUGAAUCAGAACCAUUUAAGCAAGAAUUUUAGCAGAUUCAAGGAACUUGUGAAAUUCCCCUAUCUUCUGCUUUAUAAAGUGUGUUAGGCACAUUUGGCACAAACUGUGAAUCUGACCCUUAUUUCCAAGCAUUUACACAGUCCAAAAAAAGCCAUUCCUGUAAUACUUUUAUUUUUUCCCUUUUUUUUUCAAGUGUAUAUUAAGUACACAUCUGAAGAAACAAUAUUGUACUCCUUUAUUUUAGAUUUAGGUAGCAGUCACAAGAGAUUAAAUGCUGUUACGUGUAACGAAGCAUGAAGAUGACAAGAUAUAUGAACCAGAGGCUUUUCAGCUUGAUCACAUCAUCCAGCACAUAAUGAUACAGAUUUUGUAUUUCAGACACCAAUGUCACCUUGGGGCUGAAAUCACUCUAGUUGAAUCUGUGUAAGUAUAAAUGAGAUAGUUCCCCACACCCCAAUUACCUUCCUACUUUAAAGAUAGAAAGAAAAAUGAGUCGGCCCGAGUUUAGAGAUGAGUUAUUUGUGUGCGGUAUUUGUGAUGGAAAAUUCUUUCUAAAAUAAACACGGUAAUAAAUGGUCUUCUUUUUUCCUCUCAUAUUUUAAGGGGACAGGCUUCUAGUGACAGAGUACUAGACUAGACUGAUCCUGGUCUCUUUUAGGGCAUUAGUACUUGACUAAUACAUACAGCACUAGUAUUAGAGUCCUUAAUUGUGUCGAGCAGAAUAUUUUUCUGUAGUUUUUCUAUUCAAUUUCUUUAAAGCCACGUGCAGAAUGUUACUUCCCAUGUUGUAUUUUAGUUCCAGCAACAUUUAAAAUGGAUGAUAUGCUGAUGGGCUUUUGAAAUCCUGAAAAACAUGAAUCUGAUAGGGAGCCUAGAUGGGACUUAAAAAAAUAUUGCAAAUCAUUUAACUACCAUUACAAAAUUUUUAUAAAUGCUGAAUAAAUGUGUCAACUAAUAAAUUUAUCAGCCUCUAUUAAUUUAGUUCCUUCAUUACAGAAAGACACUAUUGAUCUAAAACUUACUAGCAGUGUUGUGCUUAAGCCAGCGGAGGGCAGACUUGAAUUGGAAACUUUUUGCUACUGCAGUUACUUGAAGUCAAAAUACCAGAUAGUGCCUUGAGCUCAAAGUCUCAUCACUUCUCUGCUAUUCUAAUUACCCUUGUGCUCGAUAAAAGCUUCUUUGCAGUUGCUGUUUGACAAAAUGAGUGUUUUGCGAAUGUUUAAAUAAAGAUGCUAAUAUGAAAGUGAAUAAGUCAGUGUAUCAGCAGCUGUGUGUUACUCAUCAGGGAUAAUCCACACUGCUUGAUCUUUAACCAUGUAUAUCUUGAAAUGUUUUUAAAAAGCUAGUGAAUAUAAUUACCCCCAUUUUACAGAUGAGGAAACUGAGGAAUAGAGUGGUAACCUUGCAGAUUACCCAUCUGGGUGACAUACAGAAACAAGAACAAAAUCCAGAUUUCCGAUAUCUAAUCCAGUGCUUUGCACACAUAAACUAUUUAACUCUUACGAACAUUAUGGAAAUGAUUGCUAACAGACUAGAUAGUGGAGAUUGAGGAGCUUACACUGAUGAAAUAGCUGGCAACCUGACAGUCAAGUUGUAAAUCUUCAGAAGAAUAUUCCUCCCAAGAAGAUGGGUGGCAGUCAGAUCAAAUGCCUAAAGAGUCACUUUAAAGUAGUAUUUUAUUAUUAAAACAAGUAUUUCACAUUUUUAGGCAUAUUUUUCAUUCAUUAGGUUAGGUUAUAGUAUUUCCAAAAACCUCUUAUGAUAUCCUGUAUCUGACUCUUGUUAUGGGUAAUGUGGUAUGGCAUCACACAUUUUUAAGUACUGUGUGAAGAUUUGUAAGAAUGUAUUAUAAAAAGAUCUUGGUCACUUCUCCUAGUACCUCGUGUAAUUGUACACCUCAUAAAGAGUUGUCACCUCCAAACUGUCAUCACUUUCCAUAAUUCACAGAGGCCUGAAUAUGCAAUUAUCUCAAAAGGGAAGAGGUUCAUUUGCUCUUCUGCAGAACAUAAACUCUCCUCGAAAUAACCACUAAUUGAAGGCAUUUGUAUACAGCCUCAUUUUACAGUAAACCACUGGAUGCCUUAGCUCAAGAAGCAGCAAGAAGAUAACAAUUCAAUUAAUGAAAACUGCUGCUUUGAGAAAUGUGGUUUCCAGUAUCAAAGUUAUUUUAUUCAUCCCUAAUUACACAUUGCUGAAAACUGUUAACCAUUAUUAGGGGCAAAUAGGUCUGAGGUUUAGGAGUAUGGCUGGUUUUGCCUGCUGUGAGUUUCACCUCUACCUCCAUGAUGAUCUUUUCUUUCACUAAUCCUAGAUGGUGUGUAUUUUGUUUGCACCCAACCUUCCCUUUUAUUUGUAAAACAUGUGAAAUAUUCAAAACAUUAGUGAUUUAAGAGGAGUUAAGAUAUUACUGCCUCAGAAACACAUCAUUGUUACAUACAAGUUGUGUUUGUUGUGUGAGCAGGUCCAACUGAGUUAGAGAGGGAAUUACAGAUAACACAAAAUAACUCUAUUAGAGCAGUAGCUGUUGCUGUAGGCACAUUGGCCAAAAGCCUGUCCCUGUGCUUCUUUACAUGGAAAAUAAGGGAUGUAUGUAUGUGCUGUCUGAAUAGUGAACAUGAUGUUGUUGUGUGCCUGUGCCAAAAAAAUUCUGUCUUAUUGGAAAAGUAAACUUGGUUUUGAAUUUAAAAAAUUGAUUAUGCCAUGUAUAAAAUACGUGUUUGAUCAAGAUCAGUUCCUCUGGUAAUUGUCCUUCAGAGGUGAGAGUUUUAAUGAUAGGGAAAAUACAUCUAUGGAAUUUAAAGCCUGCUGCUGUCAAGUGGCCAGGACCCUUAAAAAUGUGUUAAAGUGUUCUUCUCUUAGUAAAUCAAAAAUGUUUAUACUUACUGUCCCAAGUAGUAGAAAGAACACCAGCAACUGCUUCCAUGUUUAGACUUCUGUGGAGCCUGCUACCUGUGAGCACAUGCCACUUAAACAAAAGUCUGUGGGAUUACUAAUUGCUAACCUCAUUCUUGACAUAGUUCAGCCUCCAACAGCCUGCUGAAACUUCUGUUACACCUUCUGGGAUUCUAUCUAUAGCAAUUGCUUUCUCUCCCCAGUUGGCUCCAAGCUAGAAAUAUAUCCAUUUGCACAAAUGUUUCUUAACCUUGUUCACACCGGGGGGUGCGAGGGGUGGGGGUAGUAAUAUAUUUUUCUUUCUGCUUCUCUGGUUGGUGGAUACUUUUAUAGUAAAUUCAGUACUUGCCAUGGGUGCUGUGUGAUGAACCCAUGGUUACAAUGCCUUUUCUAAACGACUCUUUGUUUCACUUUAAAUGCAUUGAAUAAAACUAUUUCUCUGUGGUAAUUUCAUGGGCAUCUUACUGUAACAUGGGAGUCCUAAGUAAACACAUUUAAUCAAAUUUUCUUUCAAAGGUUGUAUUCUUCCUUCUCAGUAUGGCAUUCUCAGUUGACAGGGAAAACCUUCAAGAGUUGUGGAGUAACCAGCCCUUCUGAAGGCUGAAGAAAACACAAAGGCACAAACAUUUCUCAUCAGGCAAGUUCCAGUGUCCCUGUCAUGGAGAAAUUGGUUUAUGACUGGCAAAGGAAGAUUGUGCUUACCACAGGAAUGCUACUGGUAACCAAACUAGCUAGUCUUCCUUCUGAAAAACCUGCACCUUACACACAUUCAUGUACAGCAUCCAGCUCUGGGUCUCUCAGUGCAGGAAGGACAUGAAUCUGUGGGAGUAAGCCCAGAGGAGGCCACCAAGAUAGUGGGUUAGAACGCAUAGGAAAGAUGGAGAGAAUUGGGACUGUUCAGCCUAGAGAAGAGAAGGCUUCAGGGUGACCUAAUUAUGGCCUUUCAGCACCUGAAGGGAGCCUACAAGAAAGAUGGAGAGGGACUUCCUAUAAGAGCAUAUGGUGACAGGGCAAGAGGGAAUGGAUUCAAACUGACAGUAGGCUUACCUUAGACAUUAGGAAAAAAAUCUUUGCUGUGAGGGUGGUGAGGCACUGGAACAGGUUGUCCAGAGAAGCUGUGGAUGCCCCAUCCCUGGAAGUGUUUAAGGCCAGGUUGGAUGGGGCUCUGAGUAACCUGGUCUAGUGAAACGUGCCUCUGCCCAUAGCAGGGGAGUUAGAACAAGAUGGUCUUUAAGGUCUCUUCCUACCCAGGCAAUUCUAUGAUUCUAUGCAUAAGUGUCUAUGUAUAUAGACACUUAUGCAUUAAAUGUAUAUAAAUGUACACAAAACUGCAGGUUUAUCAGAAUUAAUUGAAAAUGAACCAGCUUGGAUAUCAGUGUCAGCACAAUUUCUGAGGAUAUAUGUAUAGACACAUAUAGCAAACUUCAGUUGCUCCUUGGAAGUCCUCAGUGUUUCAGCUACCUGGAACUACCUGCAAAUAUUUGUCAUUAGAAAAUUAGAAACACUUUGAUUGGAGUUGUUAGGUUGAUACAUAGGAGUUCUAUAGUAGAGGCAGGAACAGGUAGUCCUGAUUUUUCUAACUCAAAUUUCCACAACAAAUGUUUAAAAAGUUGUUUUCAUGCACUUCUGUACAGUUGUGGUGGUGAGUGCUGUACCAGAGUCUAAUCCAAGCUCUGAAAAAGACAGAAAGUGUGUGGUUACAAAAACUCACAGACCAUGGCUUAAUGUUUGCAUGCUAGAUCAUGAACAAGGAUUCUGCUUUAAGGUUGUACAUAGCACAGUGUGUGGCAUCUCUUACUGCUUUCUUCUGUGGCAUUUAACUUCCAUUUUUAUUAAAACUCAGCAGCAGGAAAAAAAAUUGCAAGUUCUAGCUUGUGAAAAAUUUGGUUUAUUUCCAACUCUAAUAAAUCCAACCUUGCAACUUCCA